rnacentral:tRNA from 1 species
AGUAGUAUAGUAUAGUUUGAAAUACACUAGACUUGAAAACAAAAGAUCUGGGAUUCAGUCCCAGUUCUACUC